rnacentral:rRNA from 1 species
GUCCAUGCCGUAAACGGUGGGCGCUAGGUGUGGGGUCCUUCCACGGAUUCCGUGCCGUAGCUAACGCAUUAAGCGCCCCGCCUGGGGAGUACGGCCGCAAAGGCUAAAACUCAAAGGAAUUGACGGGGCCCACACAAGCGGCGGAGCAUGUGGAUUAAUUCGAUGCAACGCGAAGAACCUUACCUAGGCUUGACAUAUACAGGACGACGGCAGAGAUGUCGUUUCCCUUGUGGCUUGUAUACAGGUGGUGCAUGGUUGUCGU